rnacentral:lncRNA from 1 species
UUUAUUCUUGAAACAAAUAGGUUGGUUUUCCAGCUUUCAGACAAUACAUUUUAUGUGCUUUAAGCAGUUUCCAUUAAACUUUGUUGACUGGUUUAUAUCUAUUAAGAUAACCUCCCUUUAGUUUUUCAUAAAUUUCUGAUGUGACAUUGAGAAGUUAUUGAACUUUAUUCUCUGAAAACGCGACAGGGGUAUCAUGCGCUCAUGACACAGCUGUUCAUUAUUAUUGUGUUUAAUUUUCAUUUGAAAACACUUUCAUAGUUCAACUUUUUU